rnacentral:rRNA from 1 species
UUUAGAGUUUUGAUCCUGGCUCAGGAUGAACGCUGGCGGCGUGCCUAAUACAUGCAAGUCGAGCGAAUGGAUUAAGAGCUUGCUCUUAUGAAGUUAGCGGCGGACGGGUGAGUAACACGUGGGUAACCUGCCCAUAAGACUGGGAUAACUCCGGGAAACCGGGGCUAAUACCGGAUAACAUUUUGAACCGCAUGGUUCGAAAUUGAAAGGCGGCUUCGGCUGUCACUUAUGGAUGGACCCGCGUCGCAUUAGCUAGUUGGUGAGGUAACGGCUCACCAAGGCAACGAUGCGUAGCCGACCUGAGAGGGUGAUCGGCCACACUGGGACUGAGACACGGCCCAGACUCCUACGGGAGGCAGCAGUAGGGAAUCUUCCGCAAUGGACGAAAGUCUGACGGAGCAACGCCGCGUGAGUGAUGAAGGCUUUCGGGUCGUAAAACUCUGUUGUUAGGGAAGAACAAGUGCUAGUUGAAUAAGCUGGCACCUUGACGGUACCUAACCAGAAAGCCACGGCUAACUACGUGCCAGCAGCCGCGGUAAUACGUAGGUGGCAAGCGUUAUCCGGAAUUAUUGGGCGUAAAGCGCGCGCAGGUGGUUUCUUAAGUCUGAUGUGAAAGCCCACGGCUCAACCGUGGAGGGUCAUUGGAAACUGGGAGACUUGAGGUGCAGAAGAGA